UACAGAGGGUGCUAGCGUUGUUCGGAAUCACUGGGCGUAAAGGGCGUGUAGGCGGUCAGGUAAGUGGGAUGUGAAAUGCCUCGGCUCACCCGGGGACCGGCAUCCCAUACUGCUUGGCUUGAGUACGGGAGAGGAUGUGGGAAUUCCUGGUGUAGCGGUGAAAUGCGUAGAUAUCAGGAGGAACACCGGUGGCGAAGGCGCACAUCUGGCCCGAUACUGACGCUGAGGCGCGAAAGCUAGGGGAGCAAACGGG
rnacentral:rRNA from 1 species